rnacentral:rRNA from 1 species
AUUGAACGCUGGCGGCAUGCCUUACACAUGCAAGUCGAACGGCAGCAUGAUCUAGCUUGCUAGAUUGAUGGCGAGUGGCGAACGGGUGAGUAAUACAUCGGAACGUGCCCUGUAGUGGGGGAUAACUAGUCGAAAGAUUAGCUAAUACCGCAUACGACCUGAGGGUGAAAGUGGGGGACCGCAAGGCCUCAUGCUAUAGGAGCGGCCGAUGUCUGAUUAGCUAGUUGGUGAGGUAAAGGCUCACCAAGGCGACAAUCAGUAGCUGGUCUGAGAGGACGAUCAGCCACACUGGGACUGAGACACGGCCCAGACUCCUACGGGAGGCAGCAGUGGGGAAUUUUGGACAAUGGGCGAAAGCCUGAUCCAGCAAUGCCGCGUGUGUGAAGAAGGCCUUCGGGUUGUAAAGCACAUUUGUCCGGAAAGAAAUGGCUCUGGUUAAUACCUGGGGUCGAUGACGGUACCGGAAGAAUAAGGACCGGCUAACUACGUG